rnacentral:rRNA from 1 species
UAAUCGAUGGGGGGACGCAGUAGGAUAGGCGAAGCGUGCGAUUGGAUUGCACGUCUAAGCAGUAAGGCUGAGUAUUAGGCAAAUCCGGUACUCGUUAAGGCUGAGCUGUGAUGGGGAGAAGACAUUGAGUCUUCGAGUCGUUGAUUUCACACUGCCGAGAAAAGCCUCUAGAUAGAAAAUAGGUGCCCGUACCGCAAACCGACACAGGUAGUCAAGAUGAGAAUUCUAAGGUGAGCGAGCGAACUCUCGUUAAGGAACUCGGCAAAAUGACCCCGUAACUUCGGGAGAAGGGGUGCUCUUUAGGGUUAACGCCCAGAAGAGCCGCAGUGAAUAGGC